AGUGAACGCUGGCGGUAGGCCUAACACAUGCAAGUCGAGCGGCAGCACAGUAAGAGCUUGCUCUUACGGGUGGCGAGUGGCGGACGAGUGAGGAAUACAUCGGAAUCUACUUUUUCGUGGGGGAUAACGUAGGGAAACUUACGCUAAUACCGCAUACGACCUACGGGUGAAAGCAGGGGAUCUUCGGACCUUGCGCGAUUGAAUGAGCCGAUGUCGGAUUAGCUAGUUGGCGGGGUAAAGGCCCACCAAGGCGACGAUCCGUAGCUGGUCUGAGAGGAUGAUCAGCCACACUGGAACUGAGACACGGUCCAGACUCCUACGGGAGGCAGCAGUGGGGAAUAUUGGACAAAGGGCGCAAGCCUGAUCCAGCCAUACCGCGUGGGUGAAGAAGGCCUUCGGGUUGUAAAGCCCUUUUGUUGGGAAAGAAAAGCAGCAGGUUAAUACCCCGCUGUUCUGACGGUACCCAAAGAAUAAGCACCGGCUAACUUCGUG
rnacentral:rRNA from 1 species